UGGGGUAUAUAGUUCAGUGGAAGAGUGUUUGCCUGACAUGCAAAAGAAAGCUCUAGGUUAAAUCCCCAGUACUGCAC
rnacentral:tRNA from 1 species